rnacentral:rRNA from 1 species
GGGGGGGGGGGGGGGGGGGCGGGGGGGGGGGGGGGGGGGGGGGGGGGGCCCUGGGGGGGUGGGGGGGGGGCGGGCGGGGGGGUAACACGUGGGGAACCGGCCCUGGGCCUCGGGGGCCCGUCGGGGACCGGGGGCUCAUACCGGAUAGGAAUCCUUGCUGCGCGGUGGGGGUUGGGGCGCUUCGGCGCUGUUGUACGGACGCGCGGCGUCUCCGCUUGUUGGUGGGGUAGUGGCUUACCACGGCUUUGACGGGCCGCCCGCCUGAGAGGGCGACCGGCCACAUUGGGACUGAGAUACGGCCCAGACUCCUACGGGAGGCAGCAGUGGGGAAUAUUGCACAAUGGGAGGAAGCCUGAUGCAGCAACGCCGCGUGCGGGAUGACGGCCUUAGGGUUGUAAACCGCGUUCAGCAGGGGCGAAGCUUGUGGUGACGGUACCUGCAGAAGAAGCACCGGCUAACUACGUG